rnacentral:rRNA from 1 species
CCUACGGGAGGCAGCAGUGAGGAAUAUUGGUCAAUGGGCGGGAGCCUGAACCAGCCAAGCCGCGUGAAGGAAGAAGGUACUUAGUAUUGUAAACUUCUUUUAUAUGGGAAUAAAAUGUUCCACGUGUGGGAUUUUGUAUGUACCAUAUGAAUAAGGAUCGGCUAACUCCGUGCCAGCAGCCGCGGUAAUACGGAGGAUCCGAGCGUUAUCCGGAUUUAUUGGGUUUAAGGGGAGCGUAGGUGGAUUGUUAAGUCAGUUGUGAAAGUUUGCGGCUCAACCGUAAAAUUGCAGUUGAAACUGGCAGUCUUGAGUACAGUAGAGGUGGGCGGAAUUCGUGGUGUAGCGGUGAAAUGCUUAGAUAUCACGAAGAACACCGAUUGCGAAGGCAGCUCACUGAACUGCAACUGACACUGAGGCACGAAAGUGUGGGUAUCAAACAGGAUUAGAUACCCCAGUAGUC